UGAGGUCGCAGUAUUUCCAGUAUUAUAUAUUGGUCUAUGGCAGUAUUAUUAUUCUCUUUGGUAGAUGGGCACGUGUAUUUCUUUCUAUCACUUAGCACAUCUCGUACCUACAUUAAUUAAAUAAAAGUGUGUUAAAGGUCCAAGUAACUUCACAAUGUUUCGUUUGCCAUUUGGUGAAAGAGUAGACCCUAUGGAGGAGAAACGGCAAGCCCGAGAAAACACCAUAAACAGUGUGAUUACUUUCUGUGUUCUUUGUGCUGCUAUAAGAAUAGCUCCCUUAAUUCUGGAACACAGUGGGUUUGACUAAUGCAUGUCAGUAUGUACAUGGCAUGUGCAUCUGUGGUGGACGCUUAGAGCUUGCAGCACUCACAUGUCAUCAUGGUUACCGACAUUAUUGUUUAAUUUUAUAAUUAUUGUUUAUUGUAGUUGAUAAAGUGUAUAAUUUUGUAUUCCCACAAACAAGUGGUUAAUGUAAUAUCUGAUAGUAUGGGAGUUAUUGAAAUAAAGAAAAAAAUAUUGUAAUAAAUUA